ACCUCCGCCACCAACACCUCCUCCCCCUCGCGCCUCAUCCACCGCUUCUCUUCCCCACCCCCACUUCCUCCUUCCUCUCUCGCCCUCGCCGCGCGCCCAGGAGCCAGUAGGUACCAUCGGAUCGCGCUGCGCUGGGAGGGCAGGGCGAUGGCGAUGGCGCGAGCUCUCCUCGGCGGGGGUUUCUCGGACGCCGGCGCCAGCGAGAGCGACGACCAUGAGGAGGAAGAGGACGUGCUCCGUGCUCGGCCUCGGCCAGGCCAUGGUUGACUUCUCAGGGAUGGUGGAAGACGAGUUUCUCGAGAGAUUGGGCAUAGAUAAGGGCACGAGAAGAAAAUAAACGAUAUACACUUAUUUAAGUGUACUGUAAAAAUUCUUCACGAGAAAGGUCUUGAACCACGAGGAGAGAGGACAGGUCUUGCGCGCCAUGGAUGGGUGCAGCUACAAGGCUGCAGCCGGAGGCUCCCUGUCCAACUCACUUGUGGCACUGACAAGACUUGGCAGUAGUCGGUCUGAUAGCUACCCUGAGCUCAAAAUUGUGAUGGCUCAAUGGCUGGCAGUGUGGGCAGCGACCCACUAGGUAGUUUCUACAGGCCGUACUGUUUCUGUUGCACCCGAUCUUGAUGUCCUACUUCUGCCCUAGGCCUUUAGAGCAUUAGCUGAUAUUAUUCUUUUGGUUUAAUUGCUAAUGUACAUUUCUUGUCUAAGCCAGUCAAAGAUGGAACUAUUGGAACUGUCAUCGUUCUAACAACGCCGGAUGCACAGCGAACUAUGCUUGCAUAUCAGGGUACAUCUUCAACUCUGAGUUAUGAUUCAGACUUGGCCAAUUUAGUGUCCAAAUCAAAUGUCCUAAUUGUGGAAGGUUAUCUAUUCGAGCUGCCUCACACGAUUGAAGCUAUCAAGCAAGCGUGUGAAGAUGCUCACAAGAAUGGUGCACUCAUUGCUGUUACAGCAUCAGAUGUAUCUUGCAUCAAGUGUUGCUACAAUGAUUUUUGGUGAGAAUAGUCUCCUCGCAAAGAAUUUCCUUUUAGUGUCACAGCCUGCAACCAUCUGGACCCAGUUGCACACAUUCCCAGGUCCCCAUAAGCCAUCUUUUACUUGCCUCCAUUGGUAAUGCAUAUCCUUUCUAAAAAGAAGAGUGUUAAGCAUCUAAAGCCACCUUAAUGGGAUACACAAAGGGCAUCUUUUCUAUAUCUGCUAGUAUCUCUGAAAGUAGCAUAGAAUCUUAUGGCACUAUGCUAGCAUACUUGUUCACAGGGAUAUCGUAGGAAACUAUGCAGACAUACUGUUUGCCAAUGCCAAUGAAGCAAGGACAUUCUGCGAGCUACCCUCAACAAAUAGCCCCAUGCCAGCCGCUAGAUACUUAAGCCAUUCUGUUACCCUAGUAUCUGUGACAGACGGUGUGCAUGGCUCCUACAUUGGGGUGAAAGGUGAAGCAAUGUACAUCCCUCCGCCGCCGUGCAUACCCGUGGACACCUGUGGCGCCGGUGAUGCAUACUCUUCCGGGAUUCUGUAUGGUAUUCUACGGGGCGCAUCGGACCUGAAGGGCAUCGGCCUGUCGGCGUAGCGGGUAGCUGCUGUUGUCGUCGGGCAGCAAGGCAGAUUGGCUGAAUCGUUUGCGCUUCACCUUGAUAGCUUGGAGUUUUGUUCAGAUGUUUGAACAGAUCAUGCUUCCAACAUCUGAUUGUUUUCUGGUUUAGUCCAAGUCCUAGACAUGUAUUUGUACAUAGGAUCACUUUCUUUCUUAGGUCUAGUACAUUGUUCAGGGCAGCCGAACUGGAUAAAGCCUUUCAGUUCGUUUGGUGUUGGUUACAAACUUCAUUGCUCAAAAUUGGAGUUACAUAGAUUUCAUUGCAGAGAAAUGUGAUAAAAUGGAAAAUGCACUGAUGUAGUA